GGGCGCUUAGCUCAGUUGGUAGAGCGGCUGGCUCUUAACCAGUAGGUCGUAGGUUCGAACCCUACAGCGCCUACC
rnacentral:tRNA from 1 species